rnacentral:tRNA from 1 species
GGUUGUGGCUCAGUGGUAGAGCACUUGCCUCACACGUGCAAGGCCCUGGGUUCAAUCCUCAGCACCA